UGCGUAGGCGGGUCUUUAAGUCAGGGUGAAAUCCUGGAGCUCAACUCCAGAACUGCCUUUGAUACUGAAGAUCUUGAGUUCGGGAGAGGUGAGUGGAACUGCGAGUGUAGAGGUGAAAUUCGUAGAUAUUCGCAAGAACACCAGUGGCGAAGGCGGCUCACUGGCCCGAUACUGACGCUGAGGCACGAAAGCGUGGGGAGCAAACAGGAUUAGACUACCCUGGUAGUCCACGCCGUAAACGAUGAAUGCCAGCCGUUAGUGGGUUUACUCACUAGUGGCGCAGCUAACGCUUUAAGCAGUUCCGCCUGGGGAGUACGGUCGCAAGAUUAAAA
rnacentral:rRNA from 1 species